rnacentral:lncRNA from 1 species
ACAAAUCAGAACAGAAGGCCAAUACGGAUUCCGACACCAAGGGUCAUUUUCAUGAAACUUCUUCUGAAAAUAUGGGAGAUCAUCUUAAAUUUUGCUUGGUUACCGUUUUAUCAUCUUUCGUCUUCCCAAUCUUGAUGUUAAGGGCAACGAGGUGAAUAAUCUAUCACCAAAAUUUCAGUUAUUAGACUAAGUGAGUUUACUUAAGAAUGAACGCUUUAAGAUGGAAUUAUAAGUGUAUAAUGUACAUUGGGUAGUUACUAUUUAAUCAAAGACUGAAAAUUGGUUAGCUUAACAUAUCACUGAAUAACAUAGUAUAAACGUAUAUUGUUUUUGUCAGGCAUUGGUAGAUAAUAGUUUAAUUUUAAUAUAAACAAGUUACCUUCUAUCUAAAAAAUAUAAUUCAAUAAUAAAUGCUUAAAAAUUA